ACUUCUGGAAGAGGACACAUGAAGUGAAACUCCCUUUUCCUCCUGUGGAUUCUGCUGUAUGAAGACACAGUGCUGGAGUCAACCAUAGGAUGGCAGAGCAGGGCUAAAACACCAGAGGGGCCAAAGCCCCUGGGUUGAACCCAGAGCCAGGAGCUUCUUUUGUAUGUUAGCCUGGACUGAAGACUGGCAGAAGUCCCCAGAAACCUCUGCAUUCACAGCUAAGGUGGGACUUCAUAAAGCACUAUUUUCAAAUCUACCUGUGCCUGGGAGACACAGCAACUGCAGCUCAGAUAUAGUGUCGGAGGCACUCAGCAAAAUACCCGCCAGCAGUGGAAGAAAGCACCACCAUAGCACUGGCUAUCAGGUUUCCUAAGCCUCCAGGGAUGUGAGAACCACACAUGGUCAUGGUCGCAAAGAAUAAGCCCACAUGCCCCUCUUCCUGGCCAACGUGUGCACACUUCAUGUGGUUACUAUAACACAGUCACACAUGCUGGCCUAAGCAAAAGGAGAACAAAUCCAGCCCUAUGUUCUUGCUUCCCUAUGGUGAACGCUGUGUGCACACAAACCCGGUUGUUUUGAUACUCUCUCUUUUGGGAUGAAGCCACAUGAAGUUGAAAAUGAGGCUUCUGUCCUAGAGUCUCCAUUAAAUGCUUUCAAGCUAUUACCUGCUUGUGGUGGCGGUUCAUGCCCUAGAUGGAGUCCUAAUGAGCACUCACCAUGCCUGAUCUGAUUGAAGCCCCAUUAAGCCUCCACGAAGGCAGGGCUGCCUCUGCCUCAGCCUUGCAGCAGCCAGAUGCCACAAGCACAUUUGCUUCAGAAGACGACACUAAUUUGCUCAGAGUGGGAAACGGGCUCCCAAGACUUGCCUCGAAUUGUGUAGUGAAAGCAAGGCCAGGAUUCAGAUGGCACUGUCUCAGAAGCAAGGGUUUUUACCAGAAAAUAUACAAUGGCUGAGUGCCAUUCGGCAUUCAUACCAAACGGCCUCCAAAAGACCUGUUGCCCCGUUCUUGACAUCAGCAGGAGGAAGGGCUGCUGUGGCAGCAGAUGGUGACAAGGCUGUUUGAAAAUGGCUGGUGGCACCUGAGACUCCAUGUUGUGAUCUGCCCUCUUAUUCCUUCAUGGGGGCAAGCUGUGCUUCCUUCAGGCACCCACAGGAUACUCCCCACAGCAGCUGAGCCACACUCUUCCCAAGUGCACAUGGAGAUUUUCCAGAACAAGCCCUUCUGUCAGAAUUAAGCUUUCAUAGGCUUAAAGAGAUUAAAAUCAUAUUAAAAAAUCUGUCUUCUGACCACAAUGGGAUUAAACUACAAGUCAAUAUUAGGAGCAAAUACGAUAAACUCAGAAAUAAUGAGAAAUUAAACAACACAUUCAUAAAUGACUACUAAGUCAGAGAAGAGACCACAGAGACAUUAGAAAUACUAUGAAAUGAAUGAAAACAAACAUCACAACAUAGCCAACCUCAUAAAAUAUGGUGAAAGCAACACUUGAUUGACAUUUAUACCUAUAAAUACAGAGUUUUAAGAGAAAUAAAGAUCUCAAAUCCAUAACUUGGCCUGCCUAGGGAAAGUAGGAAAAGAGAAGUCUAGCCAAAGAGCCCAGAAGGAAGGAAAGAAU